AGAAGCUUACUUGAACAAUAUAUGUUCUAUAGGCUCGUACCACUGCAUCCUUGACUAAUAAGGAGGCAAGCACCCAAGAAGUUUAUUUUUU
rnacentral:snoRNA from 9 species